AUGGCUCGGGUGUCCUCAAACAUGGCAGCUGGCUCUUCCAAAGCCAGUGGUCCCACAGAGAAAGGUGGAAGCCACGGCAUCUUUAUGACCGUCAUUUCUGCAGUAUCCUGUGGGUUACACAGGUGUGGAUGUGUGGGGGCCGCAUGGAGGACAUCCCCUGCUCCAGGGUGGGCCAUAUCUACAGGAAGUAUGUGCCCUACAAGGUCCCGGCCGGAGUCAGCCUGGCCCGGAACCUUAAGCGGGUGGCCGAAGUGUGGAUGGACGAGUAUGCAGAGUACAUUUACCAGCGCCGGCCUGAAUACCGCCACCUCUCCGCUGGGGAUGUCGCC
rnacentral:sRNA from 1 species